rnacentral:rRNA from 2 species
AAGCGGUGGAGCAUGUGGUUUAAUUCGAAGCUACGCGAAGAACCUUACCAGGUCUUGACAUCUUCUGCCAAUCUUAGAGAUAAGACGUUCCCUUCGGGGACAGAAUGACAGGUGGUGCAUGGUUGUCGUCAGCUCGUGUCGUGAGAUGUUGGGUUAAGUCCCGCAACGAGCGCAACCCUUAUUAUCAGUUGCCAGCAUUCAGUUGGGCACUCUGGUGAGACUGCCGGUGACAAACCGGAGGAAGGUGGGGAUGACGUCAAAUCAUCAUGCCCCUUAUGACCUGGGCUACACACGUGCUACAAUGGACGGUACAACGAGUCGCGAAGUCGUGAGGCUAAGCUAAUCUCUUAAAGCCGUUCUCAGUUCGGAUUGUAGGCUGCAACUCGCCUACAUGAAGUUGGAAUCGCUAGUAAUCGCGGAUCAGCAUGCCGCGGUGAAUACGUUCCCGGGCCUUGUACACACCGCCCGUCACACCAUGAGAGUU